CUCCAGCACCAAAGGGAAGAGUUAUGCUGCCUCGUCCAGGGAUUCCCAUCACCCUGGGCUGUGCAGCCUGUGCCGCUGCACUGGUGGCUUCAGCUCACACUUGGAAGAUGUAAGGAACAGGAUGCUUUCCCACACGCAAGAGGGGAGCGUGGUGACUGUGGACUUGAUGGAGCAGCCAGCGUGGAAGAUGGUCCUCCCUCUUCCUAGGUGCAUAUCCUUGGAAGCCUCAGUUUCCUCACCCAUAUAUGAUGCGCUCCCUCCCUCCUUGCUUUGUGAGGUUCGAAUUUGUUGAGAUCCGGCGGAUGAAAGCCUUAUGGAAACUAAGAUUUGCUAGAGGGAUGUACUCUAUUACUGUUCCUCCUGAGGAAACCCUGGUGUUAAAAAUGACCUUCAAAUUCUCUGACAA